GCACCCCCCGCCGUCCACCGCGCUGGAACCCCUUACCCAAAUAUGUGAAAGCGCGCGUUUUGAAUGCCCCGCCAGAUGGCAGUGAUUAUCCUAUCGAGGCGCCCUCUCUCCCCUUUGUCCCCGCGCGGUCCUUUCUCUGCACUUCCGGCGCGCGCGGCCUUUCCGACUUAGGCCCUUGUUUCAGCGCGGCCGGGCCUUUAUCCUCUCGUUGGCUUCGCGUCCUGCCCUCCGCAGCUGGGUCAAAAAGGUCAAAUCGCUUUAACGUAAAAUACAAUUUUUAAAAAAUACACGUUUCUUAAUGAGAAACGUGGGGGAAAAAAAUGAGCUUAUUACCAGAACUUGUUUUCCGGCCCAGGUGUAUCCAAAUUGGCGAGACUUUUGUUCCCACGCCUCCCGACUGUCGAUUGUAAAGUUUCCCCGCCGCGCUGUUGCUGUACACAGCCUGUUUACAUAGAACAACAGCCGGUGAGGUUCCAACUUCCACCACCUGAGAAGGCUGGCCUGGCGCGACCCUUCAGAGCCGCGCCCGCCAUUCUGAAGAAAUAGAUAACGCGCGGUAUGUAUCCUGAUUUGCAACUUUGAGGCAAACUUCCCCUUCGGUCAACAGCAGAGAGCGGGAGACGGGGGCGUCUCUCUAGACGUGCGCGAGAAGCUUCGCGCCGACCUGCCUGCUGCUGGGCAAACUCUCGGCGUGUCAUCUCUGUCGUCCCUCGCUAUCAGGUCCCGGAAGCAGUAUGGGGAAAAGUGUGUGUCCGUGUGGGAGAGGAGCCCAGAUGCGCACACUCCUGCACUUCGGCUGGGCGCACUUUUCAGCUUAACCGAGUGAGUUCUAGAAGACCAUGGCGUGACAUCCAGCGCCGCCUGCCUGCUGCCCCUGCUGCCCCGUGUUGACUCGGUGCAAACGGCUCGAAAACAGCCACUGUGGGCUAUGGGCAGCACAGUAACACGACCAACAAAGGCGGCAGCGGCAGUUGACCCGCAGGAGCAAGUCGCCCCCGUGGAGAAUUUACAGUAUUUGUCUACAGUCGGUUGUCAGAGAUGCUGUGCCAGGUGACUGACUCACGCCGCCAACGCCGCGCACUUUCGUAGUUAUUCUGUAUUGUAUGCACGGGUGCUGGCGGGUUUGCCUAUCCUCGCUGCCCACGGCGCCUUACGGCUGGCGGCCCCGUGCGAGUAGGCGACCCGCCCACCACACGUGCAUGCGGCGUGAGUCAGCCACCUGGUGUAGUCUAUACCAGGUGGCUGACUCACGCCGCGCACUUCUGUGGGUAUACUGUACCGCACGCACAAGUGCGGACGGGCUUGCCUAUCGCCUCUGUCCACGGCGCGUUAGGAGCCGAGCAAGAAGGCGACCCGCCCGCGCACUCGUGCAUGCGGUACAGCAUAACUACAGAAGUGCGCGGCGUGAAUCAGCCACCUGGUUUAUCCCUAGUUGGUGAUGGCCUGGUGAUGGCCGAAGCAAAGGGCAACAAAUACAAACCAAUCCACAAACAGCUUCCUCUCUGGCUCCUUUACACCCAAAACAUGAAAGGAAAAGGCGCGAGGAGAGACGGCAGUUUUCCUUCUGGUAGGGACAAUCUUGAAGACUGUCUAUAAGCAGAACAGAAGCAUUCCGGUUUUCUAUUAUUUUCUCACUACAUUUUUUGUAACGAUAGUAGGUGCCAGUUCUCGUUAGGCACUUCGUUGGCGUUGACGAGUAACCCUCUCUUGUCACUCGAGCAGAAGAACAAUGCCUCUUCUGCUCGCCGAAUGACCAGCGAUGAAGUGCCGACACCAGUAUGAGCCCCUUAAUACAGCCGUAAACGGUUUUUACACUCUUCAAAAUGUGACACAUUUCACCGUCUAAAAUAAAAUUAAC